GACGAACGCUGGCGGCGUGCUUAACACAUGCAAGUCGAACGGAAAGGCCCUGCUUUUGUUGGGUGCUCGAGUGGCGAAAGGGUGAGUAACACGUGAGUAACCUGCCCUUGACUUUGGGAUAACUUCAGGAAACUGGGGCUAAUACCGGAUAGGAGCUCCUGGUGCAUGGUGGGGGUUGGAAAGUUGGGGCGGUUGGGGUUGGACUCGCGGCUUAUCAGCUUGUUGUUGGGGUAGUGGCUUACCAAGGCUGUGACGGGUAGUCGGCCUGAGAGGUGGACCGGCGACACUGCGAAGGAGACUAGGCGAGGAAGCAUUCGGGAAGAAGGAGUGGUGAAUAGUGCACAAUGGGCGGAAGGCUGAUGGAGCAACGCCGCGUGCGGGAUUACGGCCUUCGGGUGGUAGACCGGUAGCGCCUGGGUUGAAGCGGGAGUGACGGUAAUGGGUGAAGAAGCACCGGCUAACUACGUG
rnacentral:rRNA from 1 species